rnacentral:rRNA from 1 species
UGGAUGCCUUGGCACUGAGAGGCGAUGAAGGACGUGGCACGCUGCGUUAAGUCUCGGGGAGCUGCGAGCAAGCUUUGAUCCGAGAAUAUCCGAAUGGGGCAACCCACCGCUUCGGCGGUAUCGUCACCUGAAUCCAUAGGGUGGCGAAGCGAACCCGGGGAACUGAAACAUCUCAGUACCCGGAGGAAAGGACAUCAACCGAGACUCCCGUAGUAGUGGCGAGCGAACCGGGACCAGGCCAGUGCUGUCGUGACAUAAAGCCGAACGACUUGGAAAGGUCGGCCAUAGCGGGUGAUAGCCCCGUAGGCGUCAAUUAGCGACAGACUCGAGUAGGGCGGGACACGUGAAAUCCUGUCUGAACAUGGGGGGACCACCCUCCAAGCCUAAGUACUCCUCAGUGACCGAUAGUGCACCAGUACCGUGAGGGAAAGGUGAAAAGCACCCCGACAAGGGGAGUGAAAUAGAACCUGAAAUCG